GUGCCAGCCGCCGCGGUAAUACGGAGGAUGCGAGCGUUAUCCGGAUUUAUUGGGUUUAAAGGGAGCGUAGGCGGGCUGUUAAGUCAGCGGUAAAAUCGUACGGCUCAACCGUGCCGUGCCGUUGAAACUGGCAGCCUUGAGAGUACAAGAGGCGGAUGGAAUUCAGGGUGUAGCGGUGAAAUGCUUAGAUAUCCUGAAGAACUCCGAUUGCGAAGGCAGUCCGCUGGGGUACUUCUGACGCUGAUGCUCGAAGGUGCGGGAAUCAAACAGGAUUAGAUACCCUGGUAGUCCGCACGGUAAACGAUGAUCACCCGCUGUCGGCGGCAUACUGUCGGCGGCCAAGCGAAAGCGUUAAGUGAUCCACCUGGGGAGUACGCCGGCAACGGUGAAACUCAAAGGAAUUGACGGGGGCCCGCACAAGCGGAGGAACAUGUGGUUUAAUUCGAUGAUACGCGAGGAACCUUACCCGGGCUUGAACUGCAGCUGAACGAAUCAGAGAUGAUGAGGUCCUUCGGGACAGCUGCGGAGGUGCUGCAUGGUUGUCGUCAGCUCGUGCCGUGAGGUGUCGGCUUAAGUGCCAUAACGAGCGCAACCCCUGCCGUCAGUUGCCAUCACUUAAUGGUGGGCACUCUGUCGGGACUGCCAUCGUAAGAUGCGAGGAGGGUGGGGAUGACGUCAAAUCAGCACGGCCCUUACGUCCGGGGCUACACACGUGUUACAAUGGGGGGUACAGAGGGCAGCCACCUGGCGACAGGGCGCGAAUCCGUCAAAUCCCCUCUCAGUUCGGAUCGGAGUCUGCAACCCGACUCCGUGAAGCUGGAUUCGCUAGUAAUCGCGCAUCAGCCAUGGCGCGGUGAAUACGUUCCCGGGCCUUGUACACACCGCCCGU
rnacentral:rRNA from 1 species